GUGCUUGCUCCGGCAGCACAUAUGCUAAAAUUGUAACGAUAGAGAAGAUUAGCAUGGCCCCUGUGCAAGAAUGACACGCAAAUUCAUGAAGCAUUCCAUAUUUUA